UACGGAGGGGGCAAGCGUUGUCCGGACUUACUGGGCGUAAAGCGCACGUAGGUGGCUUUUUAAGUCGGGGGUGAAAUCCUGGAGCUCAACUCCAGAACUGCCCUCGAUACUGGGAAGCUUGAGUUCGGGAGAGGUGAGUGGAACUGCGAGUGUAGAGGUGAAAUUCGUAGAUAUUCGCAAGAACACCAGUGGCGAAGGCGGCUCACUGGCCCGAUACUGACGCUGAGGUGCGAAAGCGUGGGGAGCAAACAGG
rnacentral:rRNA from 1 species